UAAAAAUAUGUGCCAUUUUUAAUUAUUUCUUUAUCAGAGCACAGAUUUUAAUAGCCCAUUGGUGGUUCCACCUACUGGGUUAGAGCUGCGCAGAAAAGUCUAUGUUGAAGUAAAAGCUGCCAAUCUGACUGGAAAUUUUCAUCUCUUGCUGGACCACUGUUUUGCAACCCCAUCACCUUAUAAUCACACCAACAUCAAACAGCACAGCUUUUUCACAGGAUGUGUGGUACAGAUCCGGACAAUGGUGCUUUAUAAUGGCCUCUCCAAGUUUUCCAGAUUUUCAUUUGAAGCCUUCCGCUUUGUGGAGCACCGUAAUCAAGAAAUGUCUACUAUAUACCUGCACUGCAUACUGCGACUCUGCGAACCAAACAAGUGCCAAGAACUACUUGAUUCUUGCAACUCUACCAGAACACGAAGGCGAAGGGCCCUAGAACCUUACGGAUCGCCAGCUAAAGAUUCUGCCACAGUGUCUGUGGGUCCUCUGUACACCGCAGCCCUAAGUAAGUCAGUCGCAUACACACAUGAAUCCAGAAUGAGACCAGUCUGAGACCCAGCUUAUUGU
rnacentral:lncRNA from 1 species